rnacentral:rRNA from 1 species
GUAGGGAAUAUUGCGCAAUGGGGGAAACCCUGACGCAGCGACGCUGCGUGAGUGAUGAAGGCCUUCGGGUCGUAAAGCUCUGUUGCAGGGGAAUAAAAAAAUGAAGGUACCCUGUGAGGAAGGAUCGGCUAACUUCGUGCCAGCAGCCGCGGUAAGACGAGGGAUCCUAGCGUUGCUCGGAAUCAUUGGGCGUAAAGAGGGCGUAGGUGGCUUGGUAAGUCAGGUGUGAAAGCCCAGGGCUCAACCCUGGAAGUGCAUUUGAUACUGCUGAGCUUGAGUGUCGGAGAGGUUACCGGAAUACCUGGUGUAGUGGUGAAAUACGUAGAUAUCAGGUGGAACACCGGAGGCGAAGGCGGGUAACUGGACGAACACUGACACUGAGGCCCGAAAGCGUGGGGAUCAAACAGGAUUAGAAACCCCAGUAGUCC